AGAGUUUGAUCAUGGCUCAGGACGAACGCUGGCGGCGUGCCUAACACAUGCAAGUCGAGCGGGGAGAGAUUUUCGGAUUUCUCUUUAGCGGCGGACGGGUGAGUAACACGUGGGUAACCUGCCUCAAAGAGGGGGAUAGCCUUCCGAAAGGAAGAUUAAUACCGCAUAAUAUCAGGAAGCUGCAUGGCAUUCUGAUCAAAGGAGCAAUCCGCUUUGAGAUGGACCCGCGGCGCAUUAGCUAGUUGGUGAGGUAACGGCCCACCAAGGCGACGAUGCGUAGCCGACCUGAGAGGGUGAUCGGCCACAUUGGAACUGAGACACGGUCCAGACUCCUACGGGAGGCAGCAGUGGGGAAUAUUGCACAAUGGGGGAAACCCUGAUGCAGCAACGCCGCGUGAGUGAUGAAGGCCUUCGGGUCGUAAAGCUCUUUGAUCAGGGACGAUAAUGACGGUACCUGAAAAACAAGCCACGGCUAACUACGUGCCAGCAGCCGCGGUAAUACGUAGGUGGCGAGCGUUGUCCGGAUUUACUGGGCGUAAAGAAUGCGUAGGUGGAUAUUUAAGUGGGAUGUGAAAUCCCCGGGCUCAACCCGGGAACUGCAUACCAAACUGGAUAUCUGGAGUGCAGGAGAGGAAA
rnacentral:rRNA from 4 species